AGGGAGGAAAAGGAAGGAGGAAGAACCGGGGAGAAAGGGAGGAACGAGGGAGAAGAGUGGGAGCAGGGAGGAUGAAAAGGAAGAGGAUGAGUGAGGAGGGGAGGAAGGGGAAAUUAUGGCUGAGCAAGUGCAAAGGGGACCCACAGGUGCAUUAGGAAGCCCAUACCCCCAAGAGGCUCUAUGAUGUCUGUAAAUUCUUUGCCCAAUAUUUUAUUUAGUUUUUGUCAGCUAAAAACUUGAUUGGUUUUUCCAACUUUUGUUGAAAGUAGAGCCUUAGAAACCACUGGGCUUCCCAGAUGUUUUACCCAGGCACUUGGGGCCAUUCCCUUUUCCUUUUUCUAGGAAAUUUACCAAAAAACCACUACCCAGGUACAUUUGUGAUGUCUGUUGCUCUUCGUUUGAAGGCAUAUUUGCCAAUACAGUUUUUUAAAAUUAAAAACUGUCUACUGGGUCUGAAUGUUUUUGUCAGACCUUGUACAACUACAGAUUGAAAUCACUAAAUUUAUAGGAAAUGUUCUAAAUAACCCACUUGUUGAAUGCAGACCUCACUGUCAAGCCAGUCAGCCAAAUUACAGUUAACCUUGUCCAAAAAAAAAAAGAUCUGGGAGAAUAUGAACCAUUGAAAAAUAGCACAUUGCUAUGGAUUUUUAGGGUUUGGUUGUGGUCCCCCCCCCAAAAAAAAAAAAAAAAAAAACUGGCAAUGCAGGAAUGCUCAAAGGUGAAAUGAUUAGAUUAUGAGAGCUGUAACCUGAUCAGUGGGUUAAUCCAAGUGAUAGAGUAAUCAUUUGAAUGGCCUAACCUGGUGUUAACUAGCGCAGGUGGGCAUGGCUAGAGGAAGUGGGUCACUAGGGGAUGUGCCUUGGGGAUUAUAUAUCUUGUCCCUCUGCUUCCUUGUUGCCUGUCCUAAGCUGCUUUCCUUCCCCACACCCUUCUGCCGUGAUGUUCUGUCUCACCUUGGGCCCAGAGCUGUGGAGUUGGCUGACCAUAGACUGAACCUCUGAAACCAUUAGCGCAGAUAAACUUCUCCUUCUAAAUUGUUCUUGUUAGGUAUUUUGGUCACAGAGAGCAAAGCUGACUGUUAGGUUUGGAUGUGAGGUAUCCCCCAAAAGUUCACAUGUUAGACAGUGCAAGAACAACAUUCAGAGGAGAAAUGAUUGGUUGAAAGAGUCUUAACCCAAUCAGUGAUUUAAUCCUCUGAUAGGGAUUAACUGAGUGGUAACUGAAGUAGUAGGGUGUGGCUGGAGGAGGUGGGAAUUGGGGUGUGGCUUGGCGUGUAUAUUUGUGUCUGACCAGUGGAGUCUCUCUCUGCUUUUUGAUCAUCAUGUGAGAUGAUUCCCUCUGUCACGCUCUUCUACCAUGGUGUUCAGCCUCACCUAGAACACUGAGGAAUGGAUCUGGCCUUUUAUGAACGAAGACCUCAGAAAUUGUAAGCCCCCAAGUAAACCUUUCCUCUUUUACAGUUGUUCUGGUUGGGUCCUUUAGUCACAGCAGCGAAAAAGCUGACUAAAACACUAACACAGGUUUGAGUGUGUCCCCUCUAGGAAUCUGUGUUGCAAUGUGACAUUGCUGGGAAGAGAGGCCUAUGAAAGGUGACCAGGCCUGGAGGGCACCUCCCUACUGGGCAGGAUAAGGUACCCUUAUAAGAGGUCUGCAGGGAGUCUGCCCCUUUGCCAUUUUGCCCUCUGCCAUGUGAGGAGAAGUAUCCUCUUGCAAGUGGGACCCUUACCAGACAGGGAGCCUGCUUCUGCCUUGAGCUUGCACUUCUCAGCCCCAGAAGGGGAAGAAAUAAAUUUUAGUUUUUCGUAAAUCACUCAGUCUCAGCUUGGUGUGGUGGUGCAUUUCUGUAAUCCAAAUUACUUGGGAGGCUGAAGAAGGAGGAUCACAAGUUUGAGGCCAACCAGUUUCAACCACUUAAGCCCUGUCUCAAAAUAAAAAGGAUCGGGGAUAUAGCUCAGUGGCGGAGCACCAGUGAGGUCCAUCCCCACGCUUCCCCCCCAUUUUAUUUUAAUAAUGAACAAAUUACAGAGUCAGGAAUUGUAGCACAAAACACUAAGACAAGAUGGUGCAUCUUUUCAGAUCCCCCUCCACUCCUGUCGGUGGAGGGGAGCCUGCUGCCCAGCAGACCACAGCCCCCAUUUGCUGUAGUUACAGGCGAGUGCAGCCAUUGCUGCAGCAUGGGUCAGCGUCUCAGGCAAGGCCUGUCUUCCCAGGCUUUCUGCUUCCAUCCCAGGAAGUAGAGAGGGAGCCCCAGAAGCCAGCCUGCCCCCCUCCAGAGCAUGUCCUCCCAGCCCACCUCCUCUCCUGCUCCACCCUCCUGCUUCUGCACUCCUCCCCAGUUCCUAAAGCCUCACACCAUGUGCACUGCAAGCAGCCACCUGCUUUACCUGCCCUGUGAGGACACCCCACUCCUGGGCCACACUUUCUCAUGCCCUAAGUGUCUGGGCAGGGUUUUGUUUUCGGCACUGGAGCCUAAAGGUCUUGAUGAGACUGAAGCGGCACUGCCACCAGAGGAGCCAGUCCUGCCCAGAGAAACAAUAAGCACUCAUCUCCAGAUGGCUUUACCGCUGUUCUUCCCCAAUCAGACUUCAAUCCGACCUGACUUCUAAAAGGGAACUGCUUGCCCACACUGCCCCCUUCCAGCUUGAAGAAGCCAGAACAGCCAUUGUGCCUUUUCCUUAGGGUAGUAAGGAGCUCCUAAAAUCGGGUGGGGGUGUAGCCAGAAUUAGACAGGCAGUCAGUAUAGAUGGGUAAAUCGAGUCAGGUCAGAUCACAGAAGCCAAUUUUGAGUGAGUCUGGGAAGUUGGAGACUGUCCCCUGAAGGAUUGAGAUGUUAAUUCCUUCAGAGCCCUUCCUCCACCCUUAUCAGGAACUUCCCCCUGUUCCAAACUGUUGCCAAGGUAACAUGUCCCAGAAGUUGCCCCUCCCUGCAGGAAGCUAUAAGGUUGUUAAUUAAGCUAUAAGGUUGUCCUUGACUGCUCCAUCCUGCCCUUCCCACUCAGCCCACCUGUUUCACACCUUUUGGGCAUCCCACCAGCAUUUCCUAGGCUUACUCACAUACUCAGAAAGGAGAAAGAUAAGGGGAAGAGGGCAGGAGAAGAAAGGAAAUCUAGGACAUAUAAAGAGGGCAGAACACCGGGAGAAGUCUAUGUUACCCCUUUUUAAAUAAACCCUACUUCAUAUUGCUUGCCUA